rnacentral:rRNA from 1 species
UACCUUCGGGUGGAGCGGCGGACGGGUUAGUAACGCGUGGGAACAUACCCUUUUCUAUGGAAUAGCCUCGGGAAACUGAGAGUAAUACCAUAUACGCCCUUCGGGGGAAAGAUUUAUCGGUGAAGGAUUGGCCCGCGUAAGAUUAGAUAGUUGGUGGGGUAAUGGCCUACCAAGUCUACGAUCUUUAGCUGGUUUUAGAGGAUGAUCAGCAACACUGGGACUGAGACACGGCCCAGACUCCUACGGGAGGCAGCAGUGGGGAAUCUUAGACAAUGGGCGCAAGCCUGAUCUAGCCAUGCCGCGUGAGUGAUGAAGGUCUUAGGAUCGUAAAGCUCUUUCGCUAGGGAUGAUAAUGACAGUACCUAGUAAAGAAGCCCCGGCUAACUCCGUGCCAGCAGCCGCGGUAAUACGGAGGGGGCUAGCGUUGUUCGGAAUUACUGGGCGUAAAGCGUACGUAGGCGGAUCAGAAAGUAAGGGGUGAAAUCCCAGGGCUCAACCCUGGAACUGCCUCUUAAACUCCUGGUCUUGA